UUAGUGGCCGGCCUCCUUAGAAGAAAAUGGAGAAAAUGUUUCACCCAAUUUCAACAAGAAAAAACCCUAAUGAGAAAAUAGCUAUAAAGUUGCUUUUAUAACAUUUUCUUUGGUGAGUGGCAAACUUGUAAUUAAGCAAACUUUGCCCAUCCACCCUAAUGGCCGGCCCUCCUUGGUGUUAUUGGGCUAUUUGCCCAUUUUGUUUUAGUUGUCAUACAACUUAAACAUAAUGGGCCUUGUGGACCAAAACGCUUUUGGGCCCCGAAACCCAAAACCAACAUAUAAGCCCAAUACGAACCUUUCGUAAAAUUAA
rnacentral:lncRNA from 1 species